CACUUUGUUGUAUUUGAUGAGAGGAAAUUCGGAAUGUUAUGGUUGGAACUUAUGUCUUUCAGUAUCUAUGUCAGGGUGGACGAAAAAGAAUUAUGCGACUAAUUUGUAAUUCUAAUGAAAGUCCAUUUUCAAUUUAGAAAGAUACGCAUAUUAAUUUAUUUAUUAAUUUAUUUUAUAUCUAAAGUAUAUAAAAUGUUUACAUCGAUUUUACAAAUUUUAACUGUACAAUUUGUUACUUUACAAUUCGUUUUUUUUUUCAAGUGCAAUGCUAAUGACGUCAUAAAAGCAUUGUUUAUAGAUCUGCAUGUUUACAAAUGUGAUACUGGAUUUAAAUAAAUUCAAUAUGGUUGUUAACACAAAAUUUACUUUUAUACCCACCUGAUACUGUGGAAUCAUAUUAGAUUUCGUGGUGGUCAAUGUUCGUGUUUGUGGGUAACUCUCAUCCACGAAUUAACAUCCUCCACGAAUUAAAAAAUUAGGUUUAUAAAGUCCCCACGAAUUUUAAUGCUUCCACAGUAUGUAGUAAAUAUGUGCAAUAUCAUAAAAUACAGAAUUCGAAUUGAAAUAUUUUUGUAAAGUUAUUUAGAUAUGUAUGCAUGAAUUUAUAUAAUUAUUGUCAUGAAUGAAUAAAAUUUAAUUAGAAACAUC
rnacentral:misc_RNA from 1 species